rnacentral:misc_RNA from 1 species
GAUGAAGGACGUAGCGAAAUGCGAUAAGUAAUGUGAAUUGCAGAAUUCAGUGAAUCAUCGAAUCUUUGAACGCACAUUGCGCCCCCUGGUAUUCCGGGGGGCAUGCCUGUUCGAGCGUCAUUUCACCACUCAAGCCUCGCUUGGUAUUGGGCAACGCGGUCCGCCGCGUGCCUCAAAUCGACCGGCUGGGUCUUCUGUCCCCUAAGCGUUGUGGAAACUUUCGCUAAAGGGUGUUCGGGAGGCUACGCCGUAAAACAACCCCAUUUCUAAGGUUGACCUCGGAUCAGGUAGGGAUACCCGCUGAACUUAAGCAUAUCAAUAAGCGGAGGA